rnacentral:tRNA from 1 species
AUCUUCUUAACUCAGUGGUUAGAGGGUCCGUUUCAUACGCGGAAAGUCACUGGUUCAAUUCCAGUAGAAGAUA